AUUGAACGCUGGCGGCAGGCCUAACACAUGCAAGUCGAGCGAGCGGCGGACGGGUGAGUAAUGUCUGGGAAACUGCCUGAUGGAGGGGGAUAACUACUGGAAACGGUAGCUAAUACCGCAUACCAGCAGAUGUGCCCAGAUGGGAUUGGCUGGUAGGUGGGGUAACGCCUCACCUAGGCGACGAUCCCUAGCUGGUCGGCGGGGAUGACCAGCCACACGGGAACUGGAACACGGCCCAGACUCCACCGGGGGGAGGAGGUGGGAAAUUUUGCAAAAUGGGGGAAAGCUUGACGAGGCAAGGCCGGGUGUAUAAGAAGGGCCUUGGGGUUGUAAAGUACUUUCAGCGGGGAGAGGUAACCAGCCGAAGAAGCACCGGCUAACUCCGUGCAAGCGCCGCGGUAAUUC
rnacentral:rRNA from 1 species